rnacentral:misc_RNA from 1 species
UUUCCGUAGGUGAACCUGCGGAAGGAUCAUUACUGAGUGAGGGCCCCUCGGGGUCCAACCUCCCACCCGUGUUUAACGAACCUUGUUGCUUCGGCGGGCCCGCCUCACGGCCGCCGGGGGGCAUUUGCCCCCGGGCCCGCGCCCGCCGAAGCCACCUGUGAACGCUGUCUGAAGUAUGCAGUCAGAGACAAUUAUUAAAUUAAUUAAAACUUUCAACAACGGAUCUCUUGGUUCCG